rnacentral:rRNA from 2 species
AGAGUUUGAUCAUGGCUCAGAUUGAACGCUGGCGGCAGGCCUAACACAUGCAAGUCGAACGGUAACAGGAAACAGCUUGCUGUUUCGCUGACGAGUGGCGGACGGGUGAGUAAUGUCUGGGAAACUGCCUGAUGGAGGGGGAUAACUACUGGAAACGGUAGCUAAUACCGCAUAACGUCGCAAGACCAAAGAGGGGGACCUUCGGGCCUCUUGCCAUCGGAUGUGCCCAGAUGGGAUUAGCUUGUUGGUGGGGUAACGGCUCACCAAGGCGACGAUCCCUAGCUGGUCUGAGAGGAUGACCAGCCACACUGGAACUGAGACACGGUCCAGACUCCUACGGGAGGCAGCAGUGGGGAAUAUUGCACAAUGGGCGCAAGCCUGAUGCAGCCAUGCCGCGUGUAUGAAGAAGGCCUUCGGGUUGUAAAGUACUUUCAGCGGGGAGGAAGGGAGUAAAGUUAAUACCUUUGCUCAUUGACGUUACCCGCAGAAGAAGCACCGGCUAACUCCGUGCCAGCAGCCGCGGUAAUACGGAGGGUGCAAGCGUUAAUCGGAAUUACUGGGCGUAAAGCGCACGCAGGCGGUUUGUUAAGUCAGAUGUGAAAUCCCCGGGCUCAACCUGGGAACUGCAUCUGAUACUGGCAAGCUUGAGUCUCGUAGAGGGGGGUAGAAUUCCAGGUGUAGCGGUGAAAUGCGUAGAGAUCUGGAGGAAUACCGGUGGCGAAGGCGGCCCCCUGGACGAAGACUGACGCUCAGGUGCGAAAGCGUGGGGAGCAAACAGGAUUAGAUACCCUGGUAGUCCACGCCGUAAACGAUGUCGACUUGGAGGUUGUGCCCUUGAGGCGUGGCUUCCGGAGCUAACGCGUUAAGUCGACCGCCUGGGGAGUACGGCCGCAAGGUUAAAACUCAAAUGAAUUGACGGGGGCCCGCACAAGCGGUGGAGCAUGUGGUUUAAUUCGAUGCAACGCGAAGAACCUUACCUGGUCUUGACAUCCACGGAAGUUUCCAGAGAUGAGAAUGUGCCUUCGGGAACCGUGAGACAGGUGCUGCAUGGCUGUCGUCAGCUCGUGUUGUGAAAUGUUGGGUUAAGUCCCGCAACGAGCGCAACCCUUAUCCUUUGUUGCCAGCGGUCCGGCCGGGAACUCAAAGGAGACUGCCAGUGAUAAACUGGAGGAAGGUGGGGAUGACGUCAAGUCAUCAUGGCCCUUACGACCAGGGCUACACACGUGCUACAAUGGCGCAUACAAAGAGAAGCGACCUCGCGAGAGCAAGCGGACCUCAUAAAGUGCGUCGUAGUCCGGAUUGGAGUCUGCAACUCGACUCCAUGAAGUCGGAAUCGCUAGUAAUCGUGGAUCAGAAUGCCACGGUGAAUACGUUCCCGGGCCUUGUACACACCGCCCGUCACACCAUGGGAGUGGGUUGCAAAAGAAGUAGGUAGCUUAACCUUCGGGAGGGCGCUUACCACUUUGUGAUUCAUGACUGGGGUGAAGUCGUAACAAGGUAACCGUAGGGGAACCUGCGGUUGGAUCACCU